rnacentral:rRNA from 1 species
GCUCGUUCGUGAACNAGCCUGAUAGUACCGUAAGAAUAAGCNUCGGCUAACUCCGUGCCAGCAGCCGCGGUNAUACGGAGGAUGCAAGCGUUAUCCGGAUUCAUUGGGUUUAAAGGGUGCGUAGGCGGUCUUAUAAGUCAGUGGUGAAAGCCUACAGCUUAACUGUAGAAUUGCCAUUGAUACUGUAGGACUAGAGUACAGACGACGUUGGCGGAAUAUGACAUGUAGCGGUGAAAUGCUUAGAUAUGUCAUAGAACACCGAUUGCGAAGGCAGCUGACGAGACUGUAACUGACGCUGAGGCACGAAAGUGUGGGGAUCAAACANGGAUUAGAUACCCUGGUAGNCCACACUGUAAACGAUGAUAACUUGCUGUUUGCGAUAUACAGUAAGCGNCAAAGCGAANGCGAUAAGUUNUCCACCU